GUAAGUAGAGUGGCGUAAGGGUGAGCAAUACAUAGGUAACCUGCCCGCGAGACUGGGAUAACCCGCCGAAAGGUGGGCUAAUACCGGAUAUGAUCACGGGGCCGCAUGGCUCUGGGAUAAAAGCGGGGGACCCUUCGGGGCCUCGCACUUGCGGAGGGGCCUAUGUCCUAUUAGCUUGUUGGUGGGGUAACGGCCUACCAAGGCUACGAUGGGUAGCCGAUCUUGGAGGAUGACCGGCCACACUGGAACUGAGAUACUGUCCAGACUCCUACGGGAGGCUGCAGUCGAGAAUCUUCUGCAAUGGGCGCAAGCCUGACAGAGCGGCGCCGCGUGGGGGAAGAAGGCUUUCGAGUUGUAAACCCCUGUCACGGGUUAAGAAGGGUGUCCUGUCGAAUAGAUGGGGCAUUCUGACAAAGGCCCGAGAGGAAGCCACGGCUAACUCCGUGCCAGCAGCCGCGGUAAUUCGGAGGUGGCAAGCGUUGUUCGGAACCACUGGGCGUAAAGGGCGCGUAGGCGGCAUUGUAAGUCUGUGGUGAAGUCCCUCGGCUCAACCGAGGCAUGGCUGCAGAUACUGCUUUGCUAGAGUGUGAGAGGGGAGAGUGGAACUCCUGGUGGAGCGGUGAAAUGCGUAGAUAUCAGGAGGAACGCCGGAGGCGAAAGCGACUCUCUGGCUCACUACUAACGCUGAGGCGCGAAAGCUAGGGGAGCAAAAGGGAUUAGAUACCCCUGUAGUCCUAGCUGUAAACGAU
rnacentral:rRNA from 1 species